UUGACCAGAACUAAGAAAUCCCCCUUGGCAAUGAACACAAUUCAGCCGCGCUUGUCAAAUUCUGUACGACCACUGAUUAUUGCCAAAGGGGAUUUUCUUUUCUCUGUAUAC